AGGACAGUAGCUCAAUUGGCAGAGCACGUGACUCCAAAUUACGGGGUUGGGGGUUCGAUUCCCUCCUGUCCUGCCA
rnacentral:tRNA from 1 species